GUGUGUAGCAUAAAUGGUGUGUGUAAUGUAUAUGUGUGUAAUCUAGCUGUGUGUGAUGAGUAUGUGUGUGCUAUCAGUCGUGUGUGUUGUAUGUGUGCCUGUGGUAUGUGUAGUGUGGUGUGUGCAGGUUUGCAGAAUGUGUAGUGUGCAUGGCGUGUGUAAGUGUAGAUCGAGAGAGAUGUAAACAAACAAGACCUUUUUAUCCAUGAUAUUAUGGAAUGUGCUAAAAUACCUUUGUUGAUCCUUGUGUUGGGAUUCUGGGGCACACUUGGGAAUGGGCUCAGAUGGGAGAGAGGAAGAUGGGUCAGGAAGGGAGGGAAACUGGUGCCUCCGUUAGGGUUCUUUUAUUGAUCAGUACUCAUCCCCUAGAGAGGACUUGCCCAGAGAUCCAGCGCCUACCCAAAGGAACCACCCGCCCCUGCCUCCCAUUCAGAAAUCGGCCCCUAAAGAGAGUCCAGCCCGCAUCGCAGAGUGCACACCAUAUGGCUGAAGAAAUCUCGAGAAGUCGCCCGAGGGCAGGGUAGAGCUCAACGGGUCCCCAAGGGCGUCUCAAGGGAAAGUGAGGAGCCGCCUGGAGAGGGGGCGCUAGGGGCAGGACAGAAGGGAAGAAGAGGAAACGCCAGAAAGCCUCUUGGACCAGCGGCGCCGUCCGAGAGCCAAACUACUUGCUUGAGGCACUGACGACAGAGGGAAAAGUUUCUGGCCAAGACUUUCAAGAAGAAACGUAACUGAGAAGAGAGAGGAGAGUUACAGAUAGAUGUGAUGGGCACAGCGAAAGAAGAGGAGACUGCUGGGAAGGACUUUCUUGAAAUAACUGAGUCAAAGCCAAGAAGUCAACAAAGGUGGACCUUCUCACGGAGAGUGUCUUAGAGGACAAACAGCCUUCCUAGCAUCAACUUCACUCCCAACUGCUCCUCAACACUGUGUGAUUGUUCCAUCCAAGCACUGUUCUAACCACAUACAAUCCUCACAGCAACCCUUUGAGGCAGAGCAAAGCAAACUUGUUUAUUCCAUGCCACAGGGACAAGAAGAGUCAUCCCUGCUGAUACCUUCAAGCUUUUGUCAUCCAAGAGCAACCAACUGUCUGGGUAACCUCAAGCAUUACUUGGCCUUUCUAAAAUGCAAUUCUGUCAUGUAAACAGACAUUCUUGGGCUUACUGUCCUUAGCUGCUCGCUGUGGCCCAGCCAGUCUCCUUUCAGGUGUGCAAGCUGGAAGUCCAGGAAGCAAAGUUACCUUCUGCUCCAGAGUACCUUAUAGGUGCAGAAGGCCCACUCCUCCUGGGAGAGGAACCCGACCACAUCCUUGAGGGCCAUGCAUCUUGGAGUCCAUCUCCUCUUAUCUGGGCCUGGUCUCAGGGAGCCGAUGCCAGGCCUUCAUUUUGUUGGGUGCCCUUUUGAGGGUAGAGGCAGAGCUACCCAGACCAUAAAUCUUUCACCGAAUGUCUCUCUCAACAAUGAACAGCUCAGGGACUCUCCCACUUCAUUUCUGGGACCAAGGCUGUUCCUCCUCUCAUGAAUUCUUAAGAUUAUGCUUCAUUAUUUCAAAAUUAAGCUUCAGAAGCCCUCACACACUAGUGCCCAUGGUGGAGCUUUCUUCAAAUAAAGAUUUCUGGGCCCUACCCCCUGAGACUGAGUUGGUAGACCUGGGAUAAGGCCCUGGAAUCUAUACUUUUUAAAAGCAACACACCCGAUUUUAUGAUCUAAGAGAUUUGGGAAGGACAAACAUACAAAUCUUCCUGCAUAAUUUUCUUAGUUUAACUUUAUCUUCCCAAAGGGCAGCAGCAAGGUAGGUAUCAGCUCCUUUCUCGGGGCACAAAUGACUGGCCCUGGCCAAGUGUGCUUAAUAGAAAAGUGUGUCCGAGUCCCUCCCUGACUUUUACCUGCCAGGUAUUUUUAUUCCUAAGAGAAGUCUAAGGUAAGAUAUUCUUCUUAAAUCGGGGGAGAGCUAAGUUUUGUUGGUCCUGAAGCUUAUACAAUUCGAAGAGGCCCUUUUUAAGGAAAAGAAAAUCAAAAUAUGAAUUCAAAUUAAGUACAGAGCCUCAGAAGAGGCCUAUGCAAGUGAAGGACCCUAAAGAUCAAACUUCAUCACCUUCAUGACAUUUCUGCCUCUGAACAGCUUUCUCAUUCUGGAGUAAAUCGAAAGAACUCUGUUGCUCAAAUUGUCUAUACCUUCCAUCUAUAUUAGAUGAACUGAAUUGUGGAACUGAAAAAAAAAAAAAAGACCACAAAAAUAGAUUGUUUUGGCCUAGAAGAGUCUGAAGCUCAGUUUUUAGCUAUAACAUGGAGGCAUAGGCUUUCUUCGUUGGUGAGUUUUCGUGCUAUUCUUUAUAUUUCCUGAAAUUGUAGAAAGAGCAGCAUGGUUCCUUUACAAUCCACCUCCCAUUACCUUUCUGACCACAUCUAUUGUUCCACUCCUCGCUGUUUCUUUGCGUUCUUACUGGUCUUCUCUGAGCCCACCUGGCAUGCUCUCGCCUUAGGGUCUCUGAUUGAGGUUCCUCUUCCUGAAAUGGUAUUGUCUCUACGUUACAGAGAAAGACUCAUGGGUGCUGAAAACCCACAAAAACAUCCAUAGUGUUUAAUCCACUCGUGUCGUUCUUGACUCCUCUCUUUCUCACAUACUCCAUCCAAUCAGUCAGGAAACACUGUUGGCCCCAUCUUCAAAAUAUGUUCCGAGUUCAACCAUCACUUGCAUCUCUACCAUUGCCCUUUCGGUGGGGCCAGCAGCACCUUAGGUUACCUCUAUAGCCUCCCAUCUGAUCAGUCUCCCUCCUUCUCCCCUCGCCCCCUAUAGGCUAUCUCAGCACAGCAACCAAGGAAGUCCUUUAAAAUAUAAGUUAGAUCUUGUCACUUCUCUGCUCAAAACCCUCUCAUGGCUCCCUGCUUCCUCCAGAGUAAAAGCCAAUGUCUUUACAAAGGACUAUAAACCUCUACAGCUUAUGCUGUCCAAGGAGGUAACCACUGGCCACAUUUGGCUAUAGAACUUUGGAGAUGUGGUCACUCUAAAUUGAGAGGUAAAAUACACACUGGAUUUUGAAGAAUUAGUUUGGGAAAAAAAAGAAUGUAAAGAUUGGUGGUUGCCAGAAAUGGGGGCCUGGGGAGUGGGGGAAAUGAGUGAAGGCAGUCAAAAGGUACAAACUCCUAAUUAUAAGACAAAUAAGUUCUGGAGAUGUAAAGUACAGCAUGGUGAGUAUAGUUAACAAUGCUCUAUUAUAUGAAAGUUGCUAAGGGAGUGGAUCUUAAAAGCUCUCAUAAGAAAAAAAAUUGUAACCAUGUGAGGUGAUGGAUGUUAACUAAACUUAUUGUGCUAAUCAUUUUGCCACGUAUCCAUAUGCAGAAUCAUUGUUUUACAUCUUAAAUGGAUACAAUGCUAUAUGUCAUAUCUCAAUAAAACUGGAAAAAAUAAAAAA